rnacentral:rRNA from 1 species
AGAGUUUGAUCAUGGCUCAGGACGAACGCUGGCGGCGUGCUUAACACAUGCAAGUCGAACGGAAAGGCCCUUCGGGGUACUCGAGUGGCGAACGGGUGAGUAACACGUGGGUGAUCUGCCCUGCACUUUGGGAUAAGCCUGGGAAACUGGGUCUAAUACCGAAUAUGACCAUGCACUUCCUGGUGUGUGGUGGAAAGCUUUUGCGGUGUGGGAUGGGCCCGCGGCCUAUCAGCUUGUUGGUGGGGUAAUGGCCUACCAAGGCGACGACGGGUAGCCGGCCUGAGAGGGUGACCGGCCACACUGGGACUGAGAUACGGCCCAGACUCCUACGGGAGGCAGCAGUGGGGAAUAUUGCACAAUGGGCGCAAGCCUGAUGCAGCGACGCCGCGUGAGGGAUGACGGCCUUCGGGUUGUAAACCUCUUUCAGCACAGACGAAGCGCAAGUGACGGUAUGUGCAGAAGAAGGACCGGCCAACUACGUGCCAGCAGCCGCGGUAAUACGUAGGGUCCGAGCGUUGUCCGGAAUUACUGGGCGUAAAGAGCUCGUAGGUGGUUUGUCGCGUUGUUCGUGAAAACUCACAGCUUAACUGUGGGCGUGCGGGCGAUACGGGCAGACUUGAGUACUGCAGGGGAGACUGGAAUUCCUGGUGUAGCGGUGGAAUGCGCAGAUAUCAGGAGGAACACCGGUGGCGAAGGCGGGUCUCUGGGCAGUAACUGACGCUGAGGAGCGAAAGCGUGGGGAGCGAACAGGAUUAGAUACCCUGGUAGUCC